AUUUUUAUUUUUCGUAUUUCCGCAGCGGCUGCGGUGUGUACAGCUGUCCUCCCGCGGAAAUUACUCAGCCUUUUUGACUGCCUCGAGGCAGGGUGUGUACCUGUCAUCUACCAGCGGGAAAAUGAGUGUCUCAGACAACCUAGUGCACCAAGCCCUCUCCAGUGAGACCGACCAAAGACACACCUGGUGAGCCAGAAUCCACACUGUCGGCUGCCACACAGCUUUUGACUUCCUGUGUGGAAAGGAAACAUCCGGAGCCAGCUGCAUGCGACGGCGGGGGAUCAGACUCUGUGGGAGGCUGUGAGAGCAGACAGCUGAGACCCUCUGCUGCAGCGGGACGGGAGAGCAGUCACAGCGACAGGCUGCCUGCUCACUGUGACACUCCGGCGAAAUGCACGUAUCGCCCAGGGAUCUGAGGACGCUGCGCUCCCUGUAACCAUGCCCCCGCACGGCCCCGCACAGGGGGACUGCGUUUCGGGUUGUGUGUGACCCUUCAGAAAGCCUGCCCUCAGGAUGGGGUCAGAUCCCCCCCCGGUUUCCUGUGGGAUCACCCCAGAUUACCCCUGGAGGGGAGAGGUCAGUGAGGGGUUUAACACCCCCCCCUCAGUAAUCCCUUUAUCUGUCCCUCACAUGCAGACGCUGGGCCUCACAGCCUGCACAUUGGCAGUUCAGGGUUCGAACUCAGGCCUCCUUCCUCCUUUCCUCCCCCCGUAUAACUACAAGAUCUUCUGCUCAUUCUGCAGUUCUUGUGUUAUGUAUUGAGGGGUGGAGUACAAAAAAAUUUUUGUUCAACAGUCUGAAGCAUUCCCCUGCCUCUUUAUCAAUAAAACUCUCCCAGUUUCCUAAAAA